GACAGGGGUCUCGAGCGUUAAUCGGAAUUACUGGGCUUAAAGGGUGCGUAGGCCGGCCCGCAAGUGCUUUGUGAAAUCCCCUGGCUCAACCAGGGAACAGCUCGGCAUACUGCGGGUCUUGAGGAAGGUAGGGGUUGCCAGAACUGUAGGUGGAGCGGUGAAAUGCGUAGAUAUCUACAGGAAUGCCGAUGGUGAAGACGGGCAACUGGGCCUUUCCUGACGCUGAGGCACGAAAGCGUGGGGAGCAAACAGGAUUAGAUACCCUGGUAGUCCACGCCGUAAACGAUGCGCGCUAGAUCGGGGCGGCUCUGACGCCGGCUCGGUCGAAGUAAAAACGCUAAGCGCGCCGCCUGGGGAGUACGGUCGCAAGGCUAAA
rnacentral:rRNA from 1 species